rnacentral:rRNA from 1 species
CCUACGGGGGGCUGCAGUGGGGGAUAUUGCACAAUGGGGGGAACCCUGAUGCAGCGACGCCGCGUGGGUGAAGAAGCGCCUCGGCGCGUAAAGCCCUGUCAGCAGGGAAGAAAAUGACGGUACCUGAAGCAGAAGCCCCGGCUAACUACGUGCCAGCAGCCGCGGUAAUACGGAGGGGGCAAGCGUUAUCCGGAUUUACUGGGUGUUAAGGGGGCGCAGACGGCGAUGCAAGCCAGGAGGGAAAGCCCGGGGCCCAACCCCGGGAGUGCUCUUGGAACUGCGUGGCUGGAGUGCAGGAGGGGCAGGCGGAAUGCGUGGUGUAGCGGUGAAAUGCGUAGAUAUCAGGAAGAACACCGAUGGCGAAGGCAGCCUGCUGGACUGCAACUGACGUUGAGGCACGAAAGCGUGGGGAGCGAACAGGAUUAGAUACCCGAGUAGUC